rnacentral:lncRNA from 1 species
AGGCACCUUCCAUCUGUAAGAGAUGAACCACAUCAUCGACACGCAUCCCAAAGCAAUCGUCGAGAAACUUGUUCGGCCGUGCAAAACCACACUCACAUCAUGGAUCCUUAUUUCUCUACGGUAAGUCUAGACGAUUUCGACGUUUUUUGUGCCUGACAGUAGAACUAUUUUUUUCCCGGUAGUCCUCAACUGAUUUACCACCAUACUUCUUGCCAUUUGUUGCCGCAGAUGGGCUCACGAGUACAUUCCUCCACCUCCAACAGUCGUCCAAGCAAGACCCAAGCAUCGGCUAGAAAGAACACCCAAUGGAAUCUGCGUGAGAACUGAAUUUAAUUGCCGCAUGUAAAGCCGUCAUAGCGAACGGUCACUGUAACGGAAAGUACUUCACAAAACACAAAUGGGAUACACUCAUCCACUCGUUCAACUCCAACUCCAGCCACGAUUGGAGUAAGCAGCAGCUUAAGAAUCAUUAGGAUUCUCUUCAGCAAAAGCAUAAACGGUUCUAGGACUUGCUCAACUGUAUCGGUGUCGAAUACAUCUCUGCAAUGGGAAGAAUUUUUGCCUCGGACGAGCAGUGGGUUCAAAAGAUUAAGGUACCGUGCUUCUUCAACACCUCGUUUGCAUUUCUUGCUCGAAUUAUUGCUAUUUGUAAACAAUAGGCUUUGUCUGUUGGGAUAAAACUUUCGUGCUUGUCAUUUGGCUACUCACAGACAGGUACUUUAUUUUAUUUACUACCCAGAUAGAACAAAUCUUUCUCUUGUUGAACAGAAAGAUUCAUCUAUUCAAAGUGGAAAAAACUUCGUCGAAUUAAACUCCGAUCGACUCUGUUUUGGUAUAAUCACACCAAUUCCGUGUAGGAUAAGUUGUGUUCACAAGCAGUUCACUUAUUGUUUCCUUUUUUCACAUAACAAUGAAUAGUGUAAGUGUUUGAAUUCAUGCUUCGGUUGACAACACAUUAGUAAGUGAAGUAUAUAUUGCACUCCUUCUGUUCGUGAUUUUCAUUACAUUUUAUUGUGACAACAUUGAAGAAAAAUAAGUUGGUGGCUUGGUGCUUUUAUUUAUGACAAAUUAACAAAUUGGUAGUCACGGGCAUGGAUAUAAAUAUUUCAGUUUUCCCUCGUUUAUAUCUUUACAUACGUGAUAAGAACAUGGAAAUAAUACAUCUAUUCCACCUAAGUUGCAUAUUUCUUAUGUUCCACUUUGCUUUCGGCUUUUGCAAUAGGAAAACAAGGAGUAUAGAGAUUUGAAAGAGAAAGACUGCAGAGAGGUAUGUAGUUACAAGUUGCUGCUCGGGGACGCUUUCGAUAACGAGAAGUAUGCCGUCACACCGACAAAGCUGUGUAGAAUAGGAUUUGCCACGUUUGAAGAUAGAGGAUAAGAAGACAUGCACGACUCUACUCCGACGGGAGAGGAAAGCAGUGGGUCAAGUGAUGAGGCCAAUAAAAUUGAUAAGGUUGCAUUGAGCAUGGAUGUCUCCAGGGCCAUGGAUUGGUGACAAACGUAAGUCCAGUGGGGAGACAAAAACGAGGAAAAGAACAAAAAUUUUCGCGACGGAUUUAUUGUACUCUGUUGACCGCGCCACCUGCUAAUCAGAAAGUAGCGGCCAAAAUAAAAAAUUUGGUCAGUCCCGAGGUGCUAGAUGUGAAGACAUGCAUGAAAAAGUUGUUGGCCACGGGCAGACUCGAGAAAAAACAGACAUGUACUACUGGGCGUGCACGUUCCUAUCCCUGAGGCGGAACAGGGAGAUACUUGAAACGCAGGAGGACGCAACAAAGAAAUUGGACUGGCUUGAGUGAAAUUGGCAGGAGUACAGGAAGGGACAACAUAAGUGAGGGCUGCGAUCGAGAAAAUUUUCCUACUACGGCCGGUUUAUGUGAACACUGUUGGUGGUUUUUACUAGGAUUUAUUUCGUCUUUUUACGAAGCUUAUGUAUUAAUUUCGUUUGGACUGCAGUAGUACUUUUCAUUUUUUGCAUCCAUAUAUGUACUGUGAGUAGCACGUCAGUCAUAUCUAUGCAACUGUUUCAAU